rnacentral:rRNA from 1 species
AUUGAACGCUGGCGGCAUGCCUUACACAUGCAAGUCGAACGGUAACGGGCCUUCGGGUGCCGACGAGUGGCGAACGGGUGAGUAAUGCUUAGGAAUCUGCCUAUUAGUGGGGGACAACAUUUCGAAAGGGAUGCUAAUACCGCAUACGCCCUAAGGGGGAAAGCAGGGGAUCUUCGGACCCUGCGCUGAUUGAGCGGCCGAUGUCAGAUUAGCUAGUUGGUGAGGUAAAGGCUAACCAAGGCGACGAUCUGUAGCGGGUCUGAGAGGAUGAUCCGCCACACUGGAACUGAGACACGGUCCAGACUCCUACGGGAGGCAGCAGUGGGGAAUUUUGGACAAUGGGGGCAACCCUGAUCCAGCCAUGCCGCGUGAGUGAAGAAGGCCUUCGGGUUGUAAAGCUCUUUCGGCCGGGAAGAAAUCGCACGGGCUAAUACCCUGUGUGGAUGACGGUACCGGAAUAAGAAGCACCGGCUAACUACGUGCCAGCAGCCGCCGUAAUAC